UGGUGAUCGGUCGAACAUAAAUUAGAACGGCGUAUCUAAAAGGCUGUAGAUCUAGGAAUAACCACAGGUCGCGCGUUAAUAACAAAAUGCUUAAAUCAAGAGGGUCUGUAUUACUUCUAGUAUGUUUGGGACUUCUUGUUCUUCGUUCUAGAGCUGCUUCUCAGAAGAAAGGUUUAUCAGCAUACGCGCCUUUCUUCCUGUGCGAUGACUUUAGAGUGCUAAAUAACAUGUCUUGGUGGGUGGGAAGACGCAAUCAACUUGUAUAACCAGUACGUCACCAGCAAAUGCCCCAGCCCGCAGGCUCACAUGCCCGAGUUUGUCCCAAUGGUAUGGAGCAUGCAUAACAACAACGUCUCCCGGUGGAUCCACAUACCUAGCAACUCGAAGUACGUACUAGUCUUUAACGAACCGGAUCAUCGCGAUCAGGCGAACAUGACACCACAGGAAGCAGCGGACUACUGGCCCUUAAUCGAGCAAGCUGCAGUUGGGAUUCCACUCGUGGCCCCGGCACCCGGGGCGCAGAAUUUCCAUUGGUUGGACACGUUUUUGUAUUUGUACCACAACUGUCGCAUCUUCUUCUUCUUCUUCUUCUUCUUCAAAGUCUUGACGAUCCUAGUGGAUCAACCGAGUUGUAGCACCCGUCAGGCUUUUUAGUUAUCAGUAAAUUCCCAGCACUAUUCCCAGAACAAACACUCUUUGAAAUUGUAUUAAGCGGACGCGCGGAUGCAGCACCUUUCGACAACUCAAAAAUUUUAAAGCGUUUCGUAUGCAAUGUAAAAAAUAGACGCCGACAUUGAAAAUCAAUUUUGUGAAGUCUCUGGCAUUCUACGUUGGAAAGUUUGUGCUUUUUGUAAAGAACAGUACAAUCAAUGAGAGCAGUUACUUUCUGAUCUUGUGUGUACGAUUGCCACAGACAUGGGAAGGAUUUUUCGAUCUCACUUUCUAUGUCACGGAUGAUAGGAUCUCGUACCGCAGACAAGCCCGAACAUUCAAGGACCAUGUGUUGAAGUGUCUCAGGAGACUUGUAGCACACUUUGCGGCGCAUCUGUACAGCUGUAACGCAGACGAGACGAUGGCGUAUCUUCAGAAACUUUUCGCGCGCUACCAUAAGCCGAUCUGGUUGACGGAGUUCGGCUGCGCAUACAUGGCAGACGAAGAAUCGCAGCUGCGUCUGAUGCAGGCGUUGCUUCCCAAGCUUGAGGCGGCGGAUUAUGUGUUCAGAUACUCGUGGUUCACGGCCCGGAUCAAGAAGGAUACUGGUUCGUACGCACGUCCAUGAGUAUGUUGGCUCCGAACUCCGCCACCCUGACACGGCUCGGGCACUUUACAACGACUUCCAGUCCGGGCACGGAACGGGAGCGUCCCCGUCGGCUGAUAACUUGUGCAGUGGACUCUGCCAUUGUCGAGCAUUAUUGUGUUUACUACGCAUGAAUAUAAAGUGCCGUAGACUGUUCAUUUAGUACUCUUUAACAAAUAAUAUACAUGUAGUUGCACUUAAUGAAAUCGGCGCAAAGCAGGAAAAGUAAAUGAACACUUAUGUCAAAGCGUUCAACACUUUUAAAAAGAAUAAAUGGUUUUCAUCUGA